rnacentral:rRNA from 1 species
AACGAACGCUGGCGGCAGGCUUAACACAUGCAAGUCGAGCGCCCCGCAAGGGGAGCGGCAGACGGGUGAGUAACGCGUGGGAAUCUACCCAUCUCUACGGAAUAACGCAUGGAAACGUGUGCUAAUACCGUAUACGUCCUUCGGGAGAAAGAUUUAUCGGAGAUGGAUGAGCCCGCGUUGGAUUAGCUAGUUGGUGGGGUAAAGGCCUACAAAGGCGACGAUCCAUAGCUGGGCUGGGAGGAUGAUCAGCCACACUGGGACUGAGACACGGUCCAGACUCCUACGGGAGGCAGGAGUGGGGAAUAUUGGAAAAUGGGCGCAAGCCUGAUCCAGCCAUGCCGCGUGAGUGAUGAAGGCCCUAGGGUUGUAAAGCUCUUUCACCGGUGAAGAUAAUGACGGUAACCGGAGAAGAAGCCCCGGCUAACUUCGUGCCAGCCGCCGCGGUAAGAC